rnacentral:rRNA from 1 species
GUGGGGAAUUUUGGACAAUGGGGGCAACCCUGAUCCAGCCAUGCCGCGUGAGGGAAGAAGGCCUUCGGGUUGUAAACCUCUUUCGGGCGGGACGAAAUCGGGUGCGUGAAUAGCGCGCCUGGAUGACGGUACCGCAAGAAGAAGCACCGGCUAACUACGUGCCAGCAGCCGCGGUAAUACGUAGGGUGCGAGCGUUAAUCGGAAUUACUGGGCGUAAAGCGUGCGCAGGUGGCUGUCCAAGCCAGAUGUGAAAUCCCCGGGCUCAACCUGGGAAUGGCAUUUGGGACUGGGCGGCUAGAGUGCGGAAGAGGGAGCUGGAAUUCCUGGUGUAGCAGUGAAAUGCGUAGAGAUCAGGAGGAACACCGAUGGCGAAGGCAGGCUCCUGGGCUAGCACUGACACUCAUGCACGAAAGCGUGGGGAGCAAACAGGAUUAGAAACCCCAGUAGUCC